UACAUAGGGGGCGAGCGUUGUCCGGAAUGACUGGGCGUAAAGGGAGUGUAGGCGGUCAUGCAAGUUAUAUGUGAAAGCCCGGGGCUUAACCUCGGAAUUGCAUGUAAAACUGCAUGACUUGAGUGUGGGAGAGGAAAGUGGAAUUCCUAGUGUAGCGGUGGAAUGCGUAGAUAUUAGGAGGAACACCAGUGGCGAAGGCGGCUUUCUGGACCAUAACUGACGCUGAGGCUCGAAAGCGUGGGGAGCAAACAGG
rnacentral:rRNA from 1 species